rnacentral:rRNA from 1 species
ACGAACGCUGGCGGCGUGCUUAACACCUGCAAGUCGAACGGAAAGGCCCUGCUUUUGUGGGGUGCUCGAGUGGCGAACGGGUGAGUAACACGUGAGUAACCUGCCCUUGACUUUGGGAUAACUUCAGGAAACUGGGGCUAAUACCGGAUAGGAGCUCCUGCUGCAUGGUGGGGGUUGGAAAGUUUCGGCGGUUGGGGAUGGACUCGCGGCUUAUCAGCUUGUUGGUGGGGUAGUGGCUUACCAAGGCUUUGACGGGUAGCCGGCCUGAGAGGGUGACCGGCCACAUUGGGACUGAGAUACGGCCCAGACUCCUACGGGACGCAGCAGUGGGGAAUAUUGCACAAUGGGCGGAAGCCUGAUGCAGCAACGCCGCGUGCGGGAUGACGGCCUUCGGGUUGUAAACCGCUUUCGCCUGUGACGAAGCGUGAGUGACGGUAAUGGGUAAAGAAGCACCGGCUAACUACGUG